CUCGCUCUCCAUCAGGGUGCUGGCCAUCUCCUUCGAGGACUCCAUCAUGUUCAGCACCACCACAGUGCCCCGGUGCUGCAGCUCCUGGUUGGGGCUUAGAAGCAGGGCCUGCAAGAUCUCCAGCCAGUGUGUGGUCUGUAGGAAAUGGCGGGUGUGAAGACUCAGCAACUGGCUCGACCCUGGCAGAAAACACAUCUACGCCCUAGGAGCUCCCCGACAGAACAGCAAUACCAAUAUGUAGGGAACUGCUAGCCCCUCAUCCGCCUCCCCUGCCGAGAGCAGGCACUAACCACUUGUGGGAUACGGCUGCAGAGGGAGGGCCGCAUGGAGGUGAGCAUGGCCAGGCCGCCGGCAGCAGCCCUCCGCAGGAGCUCAUCAUCCUCUCCGCUGUACAGCACCAGCAGCUUCAACCGGUCAUUGCCCUGGGCUUCGAAGAGAUCCUGCACCUGUGAGCAGAUGGAGGCAAGGACCAUGCUACCAGGGCCCAAAGCCGAGUCAAAGUGCAGGGACGCUAGCACCUCUGUCAUAGUGACCAGCUGGACCAACCCUCACCUCUUUGCUCAUGGCUAAGUUACACAUGCACUCUGUAGCUGCCCGGCGGAUCAUCUCAUGCUCCUCAAACAUGUAGCCCUCAAUCAUAGGCACAGCUUUCUCCUUCAGGAUCUUCUGUCUGCAGGGCGAAGUUGGAAGGGCAUGUAUGACUAGAGUCUUCAUAUCCAUAGCUGCCACCCUAUUCUAGGUGGCAGAGCCCUGGGCUGAGGUUCUCCCUUAGCAAUGCCCAAAGACCUUCCUGUACUGCUUAUGAACUGCAGCGCUUUCUAGCCUUCUGGCCUGGCUAGAAACAGCAUGGGGUCAUUAAGCAUCCUGGAAAUUACCAAAGCAGGGCAGUUAUAAAGAUGGCUCGGUAAACAUCAAUCAUUUGAGCACUAAGUCGGCCCAAGUUGCUUGACUUAUUUCACCUGAUGCUCAUCAUAACCCCAGGUUUGAAUUACCUUCCUUAAUGCUCACUGUACUCCAUGUAUAGUGCAGGGGUGGCUACCAUCACUAUUUAGCCAAAGCAGAAACCAGGCUGCGUGGUGAGUGGUAUGUUCAAGGUCACAAUUAGUACUAACAGCUAAUACACGUUCACUGUGACUAUGGCCAGGACCAGAUACUGUGAGCUAAGGGCUUUCGGGAGAGGUCAGGGAGGCAGCCUUUAAGGGUUAGGGUUAGGGUUAGGGUUAGGGUUAGGGUUAGGGUUAGGGUUAGGGUAUUAUAGCCUAGCCUGGCCUAGAACUCACAGCCAAUCUUCCUCCCAUGGUAUGAGCCCACACCCACUUGUGCCUGUUAAAGAGUUUUAUAAGCAUUUUCUCAGCAAACUCUCCAUGCUCCUACUUCAUGGGUUAGACACUUAACUAACACAGAGUGGAAACUGACACAGAAUGACUUAAAGGCUCUCUUAGGGUUGGUUAUACAGUAAGCCAAUGAGAGGAAGUAGAGGGCACAGUCAGGGCCCCAGAGCUUCACCCUGCCUCCCUUGGCAUGACUUUUUCAUCCAUGUGCCGCAGGAGUCACUGUGAGGCACAAAAAAUGAUCAGGAACUGGCUUCCAAACUACAGAGUAAGUAAUUGAAGCUCACCCAAAACCCCAUGCCAAGACCCCCCACCCCACCCCUGGGACCUUACCUGAGCCUCUCGCUGAUCCCUGCCAGGUUCGUUAGGGCCAUGAGGGCCUCAAAGUUCUGCAGUCCUGAGCAACUGAGGUGCAGUAGAGAGACAAGGGGCCGGACUACUUCGUAGAUCUGUGAUAGAACCCUGCCUAUCAGUGCUCACCCAAUCCCAGGGACCCCAGCAGGGAGCCCACCCAAGUGGGCUCUAUGACUGUCCCCUGCCCCAGGACUCAAUAAAACUGCUGUUUCCCUGCUGGUCACGGGAGGAAGCCAGGCCAAGGGCCAUCAGGGCAUAACGAAACAGGAGGGGUCACAGUUGGGCAAGCAGACACGUACCCGCUCACCAGGAAAGGUCAUCUCUGGGUUAGAGGUGAUGGUCAGCUUGGCAAGAGCCUGGGCUGCCUUCGUCUGCCCAACAUCAGUGCCUUCCAGGGCCAGCGGGAUCAGAGCCUGUCAAACAGUCCCAGCCCUGUCGAUGCCCAGGCUGGCCUUGGGAGCACAAGGUCCCAGCCAUCCAUCCUGACUACACCCUCCCUCUUACUCUCUUCUCGGGCCUGAGAGCACUCCCUACUCAGACUCCUCUCACUCUGAGGUCUCUCGUUAAAACUACCCAAACCUUCCUCAACCACCUAUUAGGUACUAAACAUGGGUUGUGCUGGGCCCUGGGGCCACAGAGGGAAAAGGAAGCAAACUCAGGAUCUUUAUGGGUCCAAAGGACUCUGAGGAGCCUGUCUACAGAAGCAUCACAUCCUGCUGGUUACUAUUAGUGUCCUCCAAGGCCAGCAGCCACUGAGAGAUGUUUUAUAGGUGGAUGGCUCAGGGUCAGGAAGGAGUCAGCUUACCUUGCCCCCUCCCUGGGCAACCACAGUACCUCGAUCCUCCACCUCCUCCACCAAAGCCAGGAAGACCCUGCCGGGAGCAGACAUGGUGGGUGAGUGGGGCCCAAGCUCUGGCAGGCAGGCAUUUCAUUCCUUUUUUUUUAGACAGGGUUUUUCUGAAUAGCCCUAAGCAAAGUAAGGCAGCCAAGUGCUCUAAGGCCCACACAGCACAGCACCCACUUCUACAGGCACACUGCAGGCUGAGGCAGGAGUUAGCAGAGGCAGGCCGGCCUACCUGGAGAGUAGCUCCCUACAGGAGUUUGUCAGCACAGGGCUCUCUGUCUUCACCAUACACGUCAUGGCUGACACCACACCUGCUGCCAGCAGCUUCUUCACACGAGCGCGCACGAAGCUCGGUUUGUCCUGUGAGAGGAGGCAGUCUGGGAGGGAGCCCUGGCUGGCUGGGUGGGAAAACAAGUAGCCAACACAGAGCUUGGGAACAGCCAGCGCAAAGGAAAGCUCUCUGCUGAGGAAACUGCUGCCAAUAACUGGGAGCCCCCCGCCCCUACCGCCCCAGCCCCAGGCCUGCCCAGCAUACCCAUACCUUAGGGUGCUGUUCUGGAACGUGCUGCUUGGCAUACUUGGCCAGCUCCACCAUCUUGGGGUCAGGCUCCUCAUAGUCGUAGCUAUUGGUGCAAUUGACCAGUGCUGAGCCUACGGCAAAGAGCACUGACCUUUCUUCAGACUGCCAGGAGAGAGAGGGGUAUUCAGCAGGGCACUCUCAGCAGAGCAACCCAGCUCAGAGCAGCUGAGCCAGGCCUCCAUCCCACCCUCCGGAUAGAACCCAGGGGAAGACUGAGCACCUGCUCCAACCCCAGACUCAGAGCCCACACUCCUGGCUCCUUAACCCCUCCACAGCAACUGUGCUUCCAGAUACUACAGGCACCAAGGUCACACAAUGCAGCCGGCUCUGCUUCCCCAGGAUCACAGGGACAUUGGUGUGACCUGCUAAGGCCUGGUAAGCGCUCAUCCUAGAUGCUGCCCCCAGGCUGAGAGCAGAAACCCGCAGAACUACCCUGCUGAGCUGGAACAGGGCCUUCAGAGCAGCCUCGUCCUCCACAAACUCCUCCUUCACAUCAGCAUCAAAGGUGAGGUCCUUGAGCAGCGAGACGCCGUUGGCAGUGAUGAAGGAGGCCCGCUUGGCUUUGCCGGCUGCGUGGAUCAGCGCCUCCACUGCCACCAGCUGUUCUUCCUCCUGCUCUGAGGCGCACAGAGCGAUCACGCUCUCCAUGACACCACUCAGCUCUAAGGCCCGGUUGCCAGCGUCACAUGGGCCCUGCAGAAGGCAGGACACUGUCUGGAUGGCUCGCAGCUUCCCGGCCAGCCCUCGGCCCUCAAACCAGCUCCUGAGGGGCAGAGUUAGAGCUGUCACUUCGAAGCACACACAAGGGGCCUCUUCUCCCCGCCUCCCUUACAGUAGGCACGCACUUGGUGCUAGAUGGGAAGAAACAGCAUGAAAAGCUGCCAAGGGAAGCCUGACCAUCCAGCCACAACAGUAAUCACCAAGCUCCAUUACUGCCCUCCACCUGGGCCUAGCUGGUGACACUCUGCCAAACACAGCUUACUCUCAGACAUAUCGUCUGGUCCCAUUCCAUUCCUGUACUACUUAAGAUCCCAUUGUAAGCUACUGCCAUCUUUUCCCAUCAGCUGUCAACCCUCAAGGGUAGACUGUCACGUCUACUUCUUGGGGUAUAAAAGAAAUCCAGUGUUUGA